GAUCAUAAAAAAAUGCGCAUCGAUACAAGAUUAUUUGCUAUACGUGUGCAAGCAAUUAGUUAAGUCAAGAGAUCAUUUUACUACAAGCAAACAGGAUUACGGGAAUAAAAAAAUGCCUAUUUGUCAUCGAAAAUCCCAAAAGUAAGAAGCAUAGGUGAGUUGAAUUCAUUGAAGACGGUCAUAAGCACGUACACCUACAGAAAAUGUCCAAAUGAUGAGGACACGCUGUUCUACCAAAUUGUAAUACGAACAAUUCGUGUUCGGAAAGAAAAAAAUUGACGUUUUAAAAUUUUCGUAUCUUAGCUAACGUGAAAAUCGUCAAUCCCCGUGUUCCGUGCUGACAAUUUGAAUGCGAUGCAAAAAGAGCACAUUAGCAUGUUAGAUUUAUGAAAUAAUUGACAGACGAUUUAUUUAUCUAGCUCUCUAGCUGGGAUGUAAAGUAUUUGUUGAUGUAGUGAACUCGCGGCUUGUUAAAUGGGCGUAGUUUAAACUUUGAUAAGGAUUUCGGCACUUUUGCCACUUCAUCUCACUUAACAAUGCAAUAUGAAAUAUGGGAGAGAUGCUUACGUAAAUAGAAAAGCACCUUGGCAAAUAGGAAGCAUCGAGUGACUCGAUCGUGACGGGCGUGGAAAACAUUGUUCAAAUCAUUUCCAUGCAUUACGGAAAGAAUUCGUAGUGUUUUGGGAGGAAUUGGGAUAAAGCAUGAAAUCAACAAUACAGUUCUACUAUCACGGUGCGAAAAUUCACCACAGAGAACCGUUUCAUCAAACAUAAUAAUGCAAGUGGUUCAUUGGGAAAAGAAAAAUAUGUCUCGUAUAUUGCAAUAGCAAUUAAGUAUACGAGACAUCCCUGUAUUAUGCAUACCGUGUAUCUAAGUCGUCUUUGCCAAUUAGUAGACAUUUUCAAAUAUUGGACUGUUUGAUAACAUCAAUAAUCCACCAAUAUUCGAUUUACAAUUGAAAACCUUUUCAAAAGGCGCACCGAUAUAGGAAAUAUAUAUUUUUAAAGUUCAUCACAUA